GCCUGGGUGGCUCAGUUGGUUGAGCGUCCGACUUAGGCUCAGGUCACAAUCUCGUGGUCCGUGGGUUCGAGCCCCGCAUUGGGCU
rnacentral:tRNA from 1 species